AGAGGCGCCGUGGCGGUGGCGGCCAUGGAGGAGCCGCUGCGGCGGCACCGCGCUCGGUACAAGGGCCCGGCCGCGCCGCCCUGGAAGGAGACCUACCGCCGACGCUGCAUGGAGAGGCUGAGGAGCAGCCGGGCCAAGCUGCUGGACCGGUACCGCCAGGCCGGGGAGAGGGUCUGCGGCCCGGCCACGGGCGCGCUGCUGGUACGGGAGGUGAUGGAGCUGGAGUGGCAGACGCUGCAGGCCGGGCAGCAGAGCCUGCCGGCCCUCGGCUCCACGGAGGCCUUGGCGCAGAUGCUGGAGGACCCUGAUGAGCUGGCAGUACUGGAAGAGAUCCAAAAGGAACUGAUCUUGCAAGAGCAGGCGGUGCUGGAGGAGUAUGAACGCAGCCUGCGCUUCGACCAGGAGUGCCUGGAGGCCGUGCUGGAGGGCCUGGACGCCGCCCACAAGGUCAUCUGCCCUGUCUGCAGGAAGAACUACCUGACUGUGAGGCAUCACUUGGUCCUCUGCCAGUGUGGGUUGUGCAUCAGCACACAGGGUAUGACAGAAGGGAGGCUCCAGUCUCUUCUGGAAAGCACUGUCACAGAGCAUAGCCAGAGGUGCUGCCACAACCCAGAGUUCACUGUCACCAAGGGCACAGAGGAAGAGGCAAAUCUGCUCAUGAGCUGUUCGGCCUUAUGGAAGCAGCUACUCAGGUGCUUCAAGAAAAGUUUCACCACCCACUGUAGCUGAAGCCUCCUCAGCCAUUCCUCUUGGAAAAUGACCCCCACUCCGACUCAAGCUGGAGCCAGCCUGUGACUCCUGGACAAUUCUCCUCUAAGCUGCUCCAACUGCUGCUUCUUUUAACUGAAAGGACUUCAAGACUAAACCCUGCCCAGAGCUGCUACAUUUCUGUGUCAAAAAGCUACUUGAAGAGGCGGCUGUGCUGCCUUGCUCUGCACUUUCACUGGCACAGUGUCUGUUUGCAAAUAAACCUCUUUAGUGGAUUGUA